GAUGAAGAACGCAGCGAAAUGCGAUAAGUAGUGUGAAUUGCAGAAUUCAGUGAAUCAUCGAAUCUUUGAACGCACAUUGCGCCUUCUAGUAUUCUGGGAGGCAUGCCUGUUUGAGCGUCAUUAAACCUCUCUCAAGUAUGAUUACUUGGAUGUGAAGGAAGAGUACCUUAAACUUAAGGAGUGUUCUCCUUUGAAAUUGAUUAGCAGAUGGUAAUGUUAUUAAAUCCCUGAUGUUGUAAGAAAUAACAGUGGUUUUGUAGACUAUUAUCUAGCUUUAAGUUAUAAUUUUUAUUAUGGUUGACCUCAAAUCAGGUAAGGAUACCCGCUGAACUUAAGCAUAUCAAUAAGCGGAGGA
rnacentral:misc_RNA from 1 species